GUAGGUGGCAAGCGUUGUCCGGAAUUAUUGGGCGUAAAGCGCGCGCAGGUGGUUCUUUAAGUCUGAUGUGAAAGCCCCCGGCUCAACCGGGGAGGGUCAUUGGAAACUGGGGAACUUGAGUGCAGGAGAGGAGAGUGGAAUUCCACGUGUAGCGGUGAAAUGCGUAGAUAUGUGGAGGAACACCAGUGGCGAAGGCGACUUUUCUGGCCUGUAACUGACACUGAGGCGCGAAAGCGUGGGGAGCAAACAGGGAUUAGAUACCCUGGUAGUCCACGCCGUAAACGAUGAGUGCUAAGUGUUGGGGGGGUUUCCGCCCCCUCAGUGCUGCAGCUAACGCAUUAAGCACUCCGCCUGGGAGUACGGUCGCAAGACUG
rnacentral:rRNA from 1 species